rnacentral:rRNA from 1 species
UGGGGAAUAUUGGACAAUGGGCGCAAGCCUGAUCCAGCAAUGCCGCGUGUGUGAAGAAGGCCUUCGGGUUGUAAAGCACUUUUAUCAGGAGCGAAACGCUGUCGGCUAAUACCCGGCGGAACUGACGGUACCUGAGGAAUAAGCACCGGCUAACUUCGUGCCAGCAGCCGCGGUAAUACGAAGGGUGCAAGCGUUAAUCGGAAUUACUGGGCGUAAAGCGUGCGUAGGCGGUUUCUUAAGUCUGCUGUGAAAUCCCCGGGCUCAACCUGGGAAUGGCAGUGGAUACUGGGAGGCUAGAGUGUGUCAGAGGGUGGUGGAAUUCCCGGUGUAGCGGUGAAAUGCGUAGAGAUCGGGAGGAACAUCAGUGGCGAAGGCGGCCACCUGGGACAACACUGACGCUGAGGCACGAAAGCGUGGGGAGCAAACAGGAUUAGAUACCCUGGUAGUCCACGCCCUAAACGAUGCGAACUGGAUGUUGGUCUCAACUCGGAGAUCAGUGUCGAAGCUAACGCGUUAAGUUCGCCGCCUGGGGAGUACGGUCGCAAGACUGGAAACUCAAAUGAAUUGACGGGGUCAUAGCUGUUUCCUG